rnacentral:rRNA from 1 species
GACGAACGCUGGCGGCGUGCUUAACACAUGCAAGUCGAACGGAAAGGCCUGCUUUCCCUUGUGGAUUGCGGGUACUCGAGUGGCGAACGGGUGAGUAACACGUGAGUGAUCUGCCCCCAACUUGGGUAUAAGCCUGGGAAACUGGGUCUAAUUCCCGAUAGGACUGCAGGGUGGUGCCUGUGGUGGAAAACGAUUUUCUAGUGGUUGGGGAUGAGCUCGCGGCCUAUCAGCUUGUUGGUGGGGUAAUAGCCUACCAAGGCGGCGACGGGUAGCCGGCCUGAGAGGGUGGACGGCCACAUUGGGACUGGGAUACGGCCCAGACUCCUACGGGAGGCAGCAGUGGGGAAUAUUGCACAAUGGGCGGAAGCCUGAUGCAGCGACGCCGCGUGGGGGAUGACGGCCUUCGGGUUGUAAACUCCUUUCGACCGCGAGGAAGCCACCUGGUUGGAAGGGUGGUGACGGUAGUGGUAGAAGAAGCACCGGCUAACUACGUG